rnacentral:RNase_P_RNA from 1 species
GCAGUGAGCCGGGUAACCGCUGCCAUCAGUAACCUUGCCGCGAGGUGAGAAGUGCUGGCGGGAGAGGAAAGUCCGAACUCCACAGGGCAGUGCGCCGGGUAAUUCCCGGGCGGGGCGACCCGACGGACAGUGGCACAGAAAAUAUACCGCUCCGCCGUAGCCCGAAAGGGCGAAGGCGAGUAAGGGUGAAAUGGUGGGGUAAGAGCCCACCGCGCGCUUGGUAACAAGCGUGGCAGGCCAAACCCCGCACGGAGCAAGACCAAAUAGGGAGACGCGGCACCCCGGCGCAAGCUGGGGAGCGCCACAGGCGGCCCGCCUGAGGUCUCCGGGUAGGUUGCUCGACCCCGCCAGUAAUGUCGGGGCUAGAGGAAUGGUUACCCUCGUGGCGCUCGCAAGGGCGUCGCGGGACAGAAUUCGGCUUAUAGGCUCACUGCGGCA